AGAGCGCACAUUGCGAUCAAGUAGUGUACACAUUGUAGCCUAUGUCUUUAAGAAUCAUUAUGCCCUGUAUUAGACCUAGGAGGAGUCCGCUGGCUCACUGUACGAAAUGAGGGGUUGUUAGAUGCACUUGGAUUACCGGUUGGUGAAGUGAAACAACGUUAACAACCGCUGACUAAGGUCGAUAGAGCGCUUGUUUUAAAAGUAGUCGGUUGCUGUCCUCAAUUAAGCAGAGAACACUGCUUUUGUCAUUAGUUAACGACCUAAUUGCUUGAUUGAACCAAGGGGAUAUUAUGACUUAGAGAAAUAUUUUGAAUCUGGCUGUCAUUCUGUGGCAUUCAAUGGAGACGCAGACGAUGGAAUUCAGACGUGAAAUUUUCAGCUCACUCCGUGGUGCUGUCCCUGAUCCAACUCUUUAAAUACGGGUUUGGAGAUUGUUCUGACACCGUCGUUUUAACCUCAGAGUUUGGAAUCAAACAGGAUGGAUACAACGACCAGCUUGUUUUUGCUAUCCUUCAUUUUGGGCUUGCCGGCCACGGGAGCCAUGGAGACCAGUCCGGACCCUGCGCUGGCGCCAGGGGAACUGUCCCUCCAGCCUGCGCUGGCGGCCAUGGAGAGCGCGCGGCAGACUAUGCUGGACGGACACCACCAGUGCAUGGAGAUGCUGGGCCGCGAGGCACCUCGCAAUAGAACCGGGCCUUAUUGUAAUCGAACCUGGGACGGCUUGCUGUGCUGGGAUGAGACACCUGCGGGGACCUUUGCCACCCUCAGCUGCCCUGACUACCCGGGCCUCGACACUUCAGAGAAAGUUACCAAAUACUGUGAUGAAUCUGGCUAUUGGUUCCAAAGUCCUUCUGUCAAUAGGACCUGGGCUCAUUGUCUCGCGUAUCCAAAAGACAAGCUCAAAAUACAGCAGAGUAUAUCCACCCUUGGUUCUCUGGAGCCCAACCCAAAUGCUGUGGAGGAAAGGACAAAAAUUAUGGACGGCCAAUACAAAUGCUUUGAGAAGAUGAACAUGGAUCGGCCGUACAACAAGUCAGGACUGUUCUGCAACCGGACUUGGGAUGGGUGGAUGUGCUGGGACGACACUCCAGCUGGUACCUACGGCAUCCAGAACUGCCCCAACUACUUCCCAGAUUUUGAUCCCACUGAAAAGGUCACCAAAUAUUGCGACGAGCAUGGGAAUUGGUUCCGGCACCCUGACACAAACAGAAGCUGGUCCAACUACACGCUGUGCACAGCGUACACGUAUGGCAAAGUCAGGAUGGUGUACGUCCUCUACUACAUGGCGGUGGUUGGCCAUUCUCUCUCCCUGGUGUCCCUCCUGAUCUCCCUGGCCAUAUUUUUCUAUUUCAGGAGUCUAAGCUGUCAGCGGAUUACACUGCACAAGAACCUCUUCACUUCCUACGUGCUCAACUCCACCAUUACCAUCAUCUAUUUCAUAUGCGUGGUCAACAAUCCUAAAAUGAUGGCACAUUAUCCUAUGAGUUGUAAGAUGCUGCAGUGCUUGAACUGGUACCUGCUGGGCUGCACAUACUUCUGGAUGCUGUGUGAGGGUGUGUACCUGCACACGCUCAUCGUGGUGGCCGUGUUUGCUGAGGAACAACACCUGUACUGGUACUACCUCCUAGGAUGGGGAUUCCCCUUGGUGCCUACAGUCAUCCUGGCCAUCGCCAGAAAACAGUACUUUGAUGACCACUGUUGGCUAAGUUUAGAAACCCAUCUGCUUUAUGUGGUGCACGGACCUAUCGUGGCAGCGUUGCUGGUGAAUCUGUUCUUCUUGCUGAACAUCGUGCGGGUUCUGGUGACCAAGCUGCGGAACACUCACCGGGCCGAGUCCAACAUGUACAUGAAGGCGGUGCGGGCCACGCUCAUCCUGGUGCCGCUGCUGGGCAUCCAGUUUGUCAUCCUACUGUGGCGACCCGAGAACCGCCUGGCCGGCGAGAUCUAUGACGUCGUGAUCAACAUGCUCACGCACAACCAGGUGAGAAAGGCCGAUAGAUUAGGCAGGCAGAGCAGAUGUAGGACACACUGGACUUGAGAUAUCUACGAUGUUGUCAGGAGUUGUCCACCUGCCAGGUCUUUGUGUGUGUGUGUGUGUGUGUGUGUGUGUGUGUGAGAGAGAGAGAGAGAGAGAAAAAGUCACUCUUAGGAAAGAGAGUGUUUGAGAUUGAUGCAAAUGAAGGAGUGAAAGAGAAAUGUAGACUGAGAGAUUUUGGAAAGACAUAAGGGGCAACUUUUAUUGUAAUCAUAGUAUGUUGAGAAGAGAGAAACUUCACAGUAAUCCUAUGUUUGUUUUUGUUAGUUGCAUGUAUUUGCUAAUCAAAAUAGCUUGUGAAACCAGGAGAAGGAGCUCCAGCCUCCCACUCCCAUCUGUAGCUGCAGUAGGCGAGAGGAAAGUGUUUCCUUUUCCUCACUUGUUGGCCCUUUGAGGCCUGUGCAUCAGGACUUGAUACUCACAUUUCCCGUUUUGAAACACCCAAAGCCCUGUCAAGAUGAACAAGACCAGGCAUUAGUCUCAGCCAAAUAAUCACUUCUCUCUUCUACGCCU